rnacentral:rRNA from 1 species
AUUGAACGCUGGCGGCAUGCUUUACACAUGCAAGUCGAGCGGCAGCGCGGGGGCAACCCUGGCGGCGAGCGGCGAACGGGUGAGUAAUGCAUCGGAACGUAUCCUCGAGUGGGGGAUAACCCAGCGAAAGUUGGGCUAAUACCGCAUGAGCUCUGAGGAGGAAAGCGGGGGACCUGCGAGGGCCUCGCGCUGGAGGAGCGGCCGAUGUCCGAUUAGCUAGUUGGUGGGGUAAAGGCUUACCAAGGCGACGAUCGGUAGCUGGUCUGAGAGGAUGAUCAGCCAAAAUGGGACUGAGACACGGCCCAGACUCCUACGGGAGGCAGCAGUGGGGAAUUUUGGACAAUGGGGGCAACCCUGAUCCAGCCAUGCCGCGUGAGUGAAGAAGGCCUUCGGGUUGUAAAGCUCUUUCGGACGGAACGAAAUGGGCGGGACUAAUACUCCUGUCUGAUGACGGUACCGUAAGAAGAAGCACCGGCUAACUACGUG